GUAGGGAAUCUUCCACAAUGGGCGAAAGCCUGAUGGAGCAACGCCGCGUGAGUGAAGAAGGAUUUCGGUUCGUAAAACUCUGUUGUAAGGGAAGAACAAGUACAGUAGUAACUGGCUGUACCUUGACGGUACCUUAUUAGAAAGCCACGGCUAACUACGUGCCAGCAGCCGCGGUAAUACGUAGGUGGCAAGCGUUGUCCGGAAUUAUUGGGCGUAAAGCGCGCGCAGGUGGUUUCUUAAGUCUGAUGUGAAAGCCCACGGCUCAACCGUGGAGGGUCAUUGGAAACUGGGAGACUUGAGUGCAGAAGAGGAUAGUGGAAUUCCAAGUGUAGCGGUGAAAUGCGUAGAGAUUUGGAGGAACACCAGUGGCGAAGGCGACUAUCUGGUCUGUAACUGACACUGAGGCGCGAAAGCGUGGGGAGCAAACAGGAUUAGAAACCCGGGUAGUCC
rnacentral:rRNA from 1 species